GACGAACGCUGGCGGCGUGCCUAAUACAUGCAAGUCGAACGCAGUGGGGACGGGUGAGUAACACGUGGGUAACCUCCCAUCAGAGGGGAUAACACUUGGAAACAGGUGCUAAACCGAUACUGAUGGCUUGCACCUCGGUGCAUUAGCUAGUUGGGUAGGUAACGGCUCACCAAGGCAACGAUGCAUAGCCGACCGGAUGGGGUGAUCGGCCACACUGGUACUGAGACACGGCCCAGACUCCUACGGGAGGCAGCAUUAGGGAAUCUUCGGAAAUGGACGAAAGUCUGACCGAGCAACGCCGCGUGAGUGAAGAGGGUUUUCGGAUCGUAAAACUCUAUUGUUAGAGAAGCGGUAUCUAACCAGAAAGCCACGGCUAACUACGUGCCAGCAGCCGCGGUAAUUC
rnacentral:rRNA from 1 species